rnacentral:tRNA from 1 species
GGAGGAUUCGCAUAGUGGCCUAGUGCGCACGACUGGAAAUCGUGUUGGGUUAACCCCCUCACGGGUUCAAAUCCCGUAUCCUCCGCAA